GGCCUAACACAUGCAAGUCGAACGAGACCUUCGGGUCUAGUGGCGCACGGGUGCGUAACACGUGGGAAUCUGCCCUUCGGUUCGGAAUAACUCAGGGAAACUUGAGCUAAUACCGGAUGAUGACGUAAGUCCAAAGAUUUAUCGCCGAAGGAUGAGCCCGCGUAGGAUUAGCUUGUUGGUGAGGUAAGAGCUCACCAAGGCGACGAUCCUUAGCUGGUCUGAGAGCACGAUCAGCCACACUGGGACUGAGACACGGCCCAGACUCCUACGGGAGGCAGCAGUGGGGAAUAUUGGACAAUGGGCGAAAGCCUGAUCCAGCAAUGCCGCGUGAGUGAUGAAGGCCUUAGGGUUGUAAAGCUCUUUUACCCGGGAUGAUAAUGACAGUACCGGGAGAAUAAGC
rnacentral:rRNA from 1 species